GGAUGCGAUCAUACUAGCACUAAAGCACCGGAUCCCAUCAGAACUCUGAAGUUAUGCGUGCUUGGGCGAGAGUAGUACUAGGAUGGGUGACCUCCUGGGAAGUCCUCGUGUUGCAUUCC
rnacentral:rRNA from 1 species